rnacentral:rRNA from 1 species
GACGAACGCUGGCGGCGUGCUUAACACAUGCAAGUCGAACGGAAAGGGCCUUUGGGGUGCUCACGUGGCGAAAGGGUGAGUGAAACGCAUGUGAUCUUCCCUGCUCUUUGGGAUAAACUUGUCGAACUGGGGCUUAUUCCCAAUAGGAAUACGCGCUUCAAGGCGUGGGGUGGCAAGCUGUUGCGGUGUGAGAUGGGCCCGCGGCCUAUCAGCUUGUUGGUGGGGUAAUGGCUUACCAAGGCGACGACCGGUAGCCGGCCUGAGAGGGUGACCGGCCACACUGGGACUGAGAUAGGGCCCAGACUCCUACGGGAGGCAGCAGUGGGGAAUAUUGCACAAUGGGCGCACGCCUGAUGCAGCGACGCCGGGUGAGGGAUGAGGGCCUUCGGGGUGUAAACCUCUUUGAAUAGGGACGAAGCGCAAGUGACGGUACCUAUAGAAGAAGCACCGGCCAACUACGUG